rnacentral:rRNA from 1 species
UGGGGAAUAUUGCACAAUGGGCGAAAGCCUGAUGCAGCAACGCCGCGUGAGUGAUGAAGGCCUUCGGGUUGUAAAGCUCUGUCUUUUGGGACGAUAAUGACGGUACCAAAGGAGGAAGCCACGGCUAACUACGUGCCAGCAGCCGCGGUAAUACGUAGGUGGCAAGCGUUGUCCGGAUUUACUGGGCGUAAAGGAUGCGUAGGCGGAUUUUUAAGUGAGAUGUGAAAUACCCGGGCUUAACUUGGGUGCUGCAUUUCAAACUGGGAAUCUAGAGUGCGGGAGAGGAGAAUGGAAUUCCUAGUGUAGCGGUGAAAUGCGUAGAGAUUAGGAAGAACACCAGUGGCGAAGGCGAUUCUCUGGACCGUAACUGACGCUGAGGCAUGAAAGCGUGGGUAGCAAACAGGAUUAGAUACCCUGGUAGUCCACGCCGUAAACGAUGAGUACUAGGUGUAGGAGGUAUCGACCCCUUCUGUGCCGCAGUUAACACAAUAAGUACUCCGCCUGGGAAGUACGAUCGCAGGAUUAAAACUCAAAGGAAUUGACGGGGUC